rnacentral:rRNA from 1 species
UACGUAGGCAGCAAGCGUUGUUCGGAAUUACUGGGCGUAAAGAGUGUGUAGGCGGUGCUCUAAGUUCGUUGUGAAAUCUCCCGGCUUAACUGGGAGGGUGCGGCGGAAACUGGAGUGCUUGAGCGCGGGAGAGGAAAGCGGAAUUCCUGGUGUAGCGGUGAAAUGCGUAGAUAUCAGGAGGAACACCUGUGGUGUAGACGGCUUUCUGGACCGUAGCUGACGCUGAGACACGAAAGCGUGGGGAGCAAACAGG